CUAAUUCACUCCUUGAAUUGUCACUCGCAGGAUCCAAAUCUGGAGCCGGAUGAUUGUGCUGUCCGAUUGUAUCUAAUACUUUAUUUAUGCCCGAAUUUGUCUUCAAAUUUACCGGACAGCCAAUGCUGAGACAUCUCCACGAGAUUCUACCAUCAACCAUAAUGCGAUCCCUUUUGAAAUUAAAUCCAUCAACCUCAAUAGCGACAUUCCCUCUCGUCCUCGCUGUAAAUUUUCUUAUUAAAGGAGUCAUAAUUAAAGCUCAGUUCGAGCACAGUUCAGCGCGGCGUCACUCAGUUCAAGGAAUAUAAAGAUGAAGUCAGUUUUCACUGGGAAUUAGAGAUUCAUAAGGGAAAAGGAUAAGGAAGCGUCUUGAGGGCAAUCAAAACAAAAGCGGAGAAGGAAGCCCCUGAGUCAGGAUAUGAUUGUGCGAAUAUAGGUAAUAGAAUAAAGUCUUCUUGAUUUAAACUACGCGCUUUUGAAGUACUAUGGCUACGAGUAAACAAACAAGUUGAACAGCUGUGAAGCGCUCGGUCUAUUGACAGAUAGUGAUAACACUUUCUCUCUCUUACCGUUAUCAGCUAAUCGACGUCACAAUUCAAUAGGCCUACUGGCUCUAGCAGACGACAGAUAGAUUCAGUACGGUAGUUGCUUAUUGUUAUUAGCAAUCGCAGGCAAAAACCGGCAGUCAGAAAUGGCCGAAAAUCUGUCAAGACCGUGUAAAAAGUUCGUAAGCUUCACUUGAAUAUCAGUAUCUAUACUUACAGUUAACCUUACGUGGAUAUUAUCAGCAGUUACCAUCUUCAAGUGGAGAAUGGGAAUCGAUAUCAAAGGAGUUUGAAGAAAAAUGGAAUUUCCCCCAUGUACUGGGGGCAAUGGACGGGAAACAUGUCCAGCUACAAGCACCAUGGAACAGUGGCACUGAAUACUACAAUUACAAACAUUUUUUUAGUAUUGUGCUAUUUGCCUUGGUUGAUGCCAAUUAAAAUUUUCUGUAUGUAAAUGUUGGCAGUCCUGGAAGAUUCUCAGAUGGGUGUUUUUAAAAAUACUGAGCUGUAUAGAAAACUAGAAAAUAGGACACUUAAUAUCCCCAGUCCAAAACCAUUACAAAUUCCUUACAGAAUAGAAGUUCCUUACUUCAUCUUGGGUGAUCAAGCUUUUGAACUUAAUGACUACACUAUGACACCAUUUAGAGGAACUCCACAUGCAGGUUCAAUUGAACGAAUAUUCAAUUAUAGAUUGUCCAGGGCACGCAGGGUAGUCGAAAAUACCUUUGGAGUAGUCAGUUCAAAGUUUGAGUUUUUGUUGAAGCCCAUACGACUUCAACCAGAAAAGGCCAAGAUUGUAGUUUUACCUGUUGCAUAUUUACACAACUACCUAUGAAAACAAACAUCUUCAAAUCAAUUGUACAUGCCCAGUGGAAUGGUAGGUAGAGAGGAAAGUGGAGAGUUAAUCCCAGGAGCAUGGAGACAAGGACAAAUAUCUGGUAGCUUGAUACCACUUGGAUAUACACCAAGAAGAUUGGGCAUUGCAUCUAAAAACAUUCAAUUACAUUUAGCUCAACACUUUUCUACAAAUGGCUCAAUCCCAUGGCAAAACAACUAUUCGUAAUAAAUAUUGCACAAUAGCACUAAUACUUAAGUAGUAUGAGUACAUAUACUUGCUAAAUAUAAGUAAGUAGGCUACUUGUUCAAUAUAUUUGGAUUUUUGUUAGAUUUUGGAUUUUACUAAUAAGUUGAAUUAUUUUAUAAAUGAUAGAUUAUUACAAUACCAUUCUUAAUGAUAUCAUUCCAAUGAUACCAUUAUUUAUUCUUAUGAAUUAGGUACUGACAACCAACAUUUGGACUCACUUUCCUCUAUAGGGCUAGGCUAUAUACCUACUAAAAUUAUUAUUGAACAACAAUAAAAUUUAUCAAGUAGCUUACCCAUUUUUGAUUUUAUCAAAACACAACUAGUUUUAUUAGAGCCAUUUUCAAGUGGCACUAGUUGUAUUUCGAUAAAUAAUAAAAAUGGUUGAAUUUAUUAACAAGUUAUUUAAUUGUUGAAUUUUACUGUGUUCCAACAUAUCGACUAAUUUAAUGAAAAUUAGUCCAUGAUUUAUUACUGCAUCCGAACCACAAAUGAAAUAAGCAAAUCUUACUUUACUUUCCAACGUGUCCAUUGCAUCUUUUGGAAUGCUCUUGUCACCAAGAAACUGCUUGAAAAGAUUGUAUGCAAACCACUUGCUUUUGUAAACGUCAUCUCCACCUGUAAAUUUGAAAGAUUAAUGAAAAUUAUGUUUUAUAUGAGCUUUAUAGUUUUUAAUAAUUUAAUCAAAUGUUAUUGUAGUGCUGUGAUUUUGUUGAUAUAAAUGGAAAGAAAUUAAGUGAAAAGACAAAUAAAGAUGAAUUAUUGUCCAGUUGCUGGGUAUUUGGCUCAGUCUUUUUUAGAAAAUAUAAUAAUAAAAUGUAUCAUUAUGAAAAAAAUGUGAUGUCAGAUUUUUAACACAAUUAACUGUAAAAUAAGUUUAUAUGAAUUAAAUUUUAAUGUUGUUUUGGACAAACAUUCUACAUUUAUAUUAUUUCCCUUGAUUAUACUUUGGAUAAGAAAUGUGAAUUAAAGUUGUGAGUCUUUAUAUUCAUGCAUAUUCAUUAAAUAUUUCCUUGCAUAAGGACAAAAGUU